GCCCCACACCGGGUGAGGGGGUUCCCGCAGGAAGGUAGUAAAGCCGGAUAUUGAUGUUUAAGGUUGAUGGAGUGACGUAAAAGCGGUCCACUCACAAGAUGUCCCGGCCCAGAAUGCCAGAGGCCAGGUG